rnacentral:lncRNA from 1 species
UUGAAGUGGCUUUGCUCUUCUUUGUCAAGGAUGCUUCACUCUUCAAGGGAGGAUGGAGCUCUUGAUGACUCUUUGAAUCUGCUCAACCCCUUUCUUUUGACUCUUGAAUGAAGCACUUGGAUGAAGCUUGCCUUGCUAGGGUUCUCUCUUGAAUGCACUUGAUGUAUUUUCCCAAAAGCUUGCUUCCUCUGAUGAAUACUCCUUCUUAAAUACUUCUCCAACCUCCAAAUAGUCCUUUCUGACCGUUGGAUUGAAGAAACUAGCCGUUUAUAGCCGUUGGGAGUCCAAAAAGCAUUUCUGCACAACUAGCCGUUAUGUUCAGCCCGUGUUUGGGUCGGCUCAACCUGUCCUUGGGUCGACCCAACCUUUACUUGGGUCGACUCAACCAUUUCUUGGGUCGACCCUCUCAGAAAAUACAGAAACUUGAAAUUCAGCCUUCUGUUGCCUUGGGUCGACCCAACCGUUUCUUUGGGUCGACCCAAGGUCAGCUUCAGAAAAUUCAGAGCCUUGAAUUUCAGCCUUUCUUCACUUGGGUCGACUCAACCUUUCCUUGGGUCGACUCAAAGUUUACUUGGGUCGACUCAACUUCUUCUUGGGUCGACCCUCUCAGUAAAUCCAGAGAGCAUUCUUCCUUUGCAUUUUGAGGUUCUUUAGAGGUUGGGUCGACUCUUGCUUACCUUGGGUCGACCCAACUCACUGUUCAUUUGUGCUGUUUUUGCAGGAGUGUGCCAGAUGAUUCCUCGAUGUGCCGGAGUCGACCCAAUCAACCUAUGGGUCGACUCAAUCCACACUUUGCUGCAUUCUCAAGGUUAGUUUCAUCCAAAUGAACAAGACCAUAUAUAUAUUUCCAAUUAAGCAAAUGUACUGAGAGCAAUGAACUUAUAAAUGAAGUAUCAAUUUUAACUUAUAGCAUACUCUAGAGAAUUGCUUGUUAAUCAUCAAAAUAACACUAUCAUCCUCA